GACGAACGCUGGCGGCGUGCUUAACACAUGCAAGUCGAACGGAAAGGCCCUGCUUUUGUGGGGUGCUCGAGUGGCGAACGGGUGAGUAACACGUGAGUAACCUGCCCUUGACUUUGGGAUAACUUCAGGAAACUGGGGCUAAUACCGGAUAGGAGCUCCUGCUGCAUGGUGGGGGUUGGAAAGUUUCGGCGGUUGGGGAUGGACUCGCGGCUUAUCAGCUUGUUGGUGGGGUAGUGGCUUACCAAGGCUUUGACGGGUAGCCGGCCUGGGAUGGUGACCGGCCACAUUGGGACUGAGAUACGGCCCAGACUCCUACGGGAGGCAGCAGUGGGGAAUAUUGCACAAUGGGCGGAAGCCUGAUGCAGCAACGCCGCGUGCGGGAUGACGGCCUUCGGGUUGUAAACCGCUUUCGCCUGUGACGAAGCGUGAGUGACGGUAAUGGGUAAAGAAGCACCGGCUAACUACGUG
rnacentral:rRNA from 1 species